GACGAACGCUGGCGGCGUGCUUAACACAUGCAAGUCGAACGAGUGGCGAACGGGUGAGUAACACGUGAGUAACCUGCCCCUUCUUCUGGAUAACUGCUUGAAAGGGUAGCUAAUACGGGAUAGUGGGGGAUGGGCUCGCGGCCUAUCAGCUUGUUGGUGGGGUGAUGGCCUACCAAGGCGGUGACGGGUAGCCGGCCUGAGAGGGUGGACGGCCACACUGGGACUGAGACACGGCCCAGACUCCUACGGGAGGCAGCAGUGGGGAAUAUUGCACAAUGGGCGCAAGCCUGAUGCAGCGACGCCGCGUGAGGGAUGGAGGCCUUCGGGUUGUAAACCUCUUUCGCCAGUGAAGCGGUAGCUGGAUAAGAAGCGCCGGCUAACUACGUGCCAGCAGCCGCGGUAAUAC
rnacentral:rRNA from 1 species